rnacentral:rRNA from 1 species
AACGAACGCUGGCGGCGUGCCUAAUACAUGCAAGUCGAACGAGAAAGUGUAGCAAUACAUUAGUAAAGUGGCAGACGGGUGAGUAAUACAUAGGUAAUUUCCCCUUAAGAUGAGAAUAACCUUCCGAAAGGAGGGCUAAUACUGAAUGAGACCACAGUGACUGCGGUCACAGUGGCCAAAGGUGACCUCUACUUGUAAGUUACCGCUUAAGGAUAAGCUUAUGCACCAUCAGCUAGUUGGUAAGGUAACGGCUUACCAAGGCUUUGACGGUUAGCUGAUCUGAGAGGUUGAUCAGCCACACUGGAACUGAGACACGGUCCAGACUCCUACGGGAGGCAGCAGUAGGGAAUAUUGCGCAAUGGAGGAAACUCUGACGCAGCGACGCCGCGUGGGUGACGAAGGUCUUCGGAUCGUAAAGCCCUGUCGGAUGGGAAGAAAAACGGAAUGGCUAAUAUCCAUUCCGCUUGACGGUACCAUAAGAGGAAGCCCCGGCUAACUUCGUGCCAGCCGCCGCCGUAACAC